GAUGAACGCUGGCGGCGUGCCUAAUACAUGCAAGUCGUGCGGCAGCGAGCCCUUCGGGGUGUCGGCGAGCGGCGGACGGCUGAGUAACACGUAGGAACAUACCCCAAAGUGAGGGAUAACUGCUCGAAAGAGUAGCUAAUACCGCAUGUGAUCUAAGGAUUAAAGCUUCGGCGCUUUGGGAAUGGCCUGCGUUCGAUUAGCUAGAUGGUGAGGUAAAAGCUCACCAUGGCGACGAUCGAUAGCUGGUCUGAGAGGAUGAUCAGCCAGACUGGGACUGAGACACGGCCCAGACUCCUACGGGAGGCAGCAGUAGGGAAUUUUCCACAAUGGGCGAAAGCCUGAUGGAGCAACGCCGCGUGCAGGAUGAAUGCCUUAGGGUUGUAAACUGCUUUUAUAUGUGACGAUUAUGACGGUAGCAUAUGAAUAAGGAUCGGCUAACUCCGUGCCAGCCGCCGCAGUAAGAC
rnacentral:rRNA from 1 species